rnacentral:misc_RNA from 1 species
UAAAUAUAAAUUCAAAAGGAGAAGAGAAUAGCGAAAAUAAAGCCGUAUCUAAAGCUAUGAAAUUUUGAGUUCAAAUCCUAAACAGAGUCAAUUGUAUAAAAAAAAAAUUAAAAUAAGAGGAGAAAAGGAAAGGGCAUAAAAGCAGGCUUUUUCAGCCAAGAAUACACUUUUAACUCAACUAGAUUAUCGAGUUCAAAUUCGAAAGGCGAAAGGUAGAAAUUUACAACCACAAGGUAACUUCAGGGACUUCUAUUUCCCUUAAGGAUUUAUCGUUUGCCUUCCUUCUUGGACUGUACUAUUAUAGUCGGAUUAAUUGAAGUCUGUAACUGGUGGAAAAAGAAACUCCCAGAGAUAAAAAGCUCAUACUCAGCAGUGAUCGGACUACGAAACUCUGGCAGGAGCCUUAUUUACCAUCGCUGUUGCCACCAUACUGAGUUGAAUUGCCAUUCCAAUAGGGAUUUCUAUCGCCGAACUGGCUAUCGUCUUCAUCAUGUUUCAAUGUGUGAAUAUUGCUUCCAAAUCGGGAUGACGUUGGUUGCCCGCUCCCGUUAUCAUUUCUGCCAGUUGCCGAAGUGCUUUGGUUUGAUGAGUAAGCGGAGUAUGGCCUCUCUGUUCUUGCUAAGUUGUUCUGCAGUGCUGGAUUUGGACUGUACUCCCACAUGCCAGUUUGAGCUUGUCCAGAACUUGAUGAACUUGUACUACCACCAAGAUAGGAAAGUGGAUUGAUAUAUGAUAGCAUCGUUUUGACGUAGGCAAAAUAUCCCCCAUUAUGCACAAUUGAUGAAUCAGUGUCAACUAUAGUAGCAGUUUGGUCGGACGAAGAACCUCCUCUGUGGUUAUUUAUGGCUCUUUGACGAGGGACUACUAUCAAUGCUUGUCUAUUGAACAGACCCAGCUCUGACAAUGAUUUGCUUAAAUCUUGAUUGCUGAACACCUUGCGAGGAUAAGGAAUAGCAAGAUCAUAUGGGCCAAUGCCACUAGCUUGGUUUCUGUCCACAUAGUCUUUGAUCAUUCCUAAAGUGCUUGCCACAGAAAAUUUGUCUUGUAGGCUAACACCACUUGGCAAUCUGAUAUUUAAAUGAACCUCACUUAACGCAUUAACACUCUUAUUAUUGUCUAAUCUGUAAGCCUUCGUAUCAUCAACACAUUUGUCCCUUUCAUUUUGCACUGCUUGAUUUGUUUCAGUAGUAACUAAAUGUGAAUCUCCACCAGGAACACCUGAAUACUUGUUAAUAAUCUUUUCUUCAGCAGGAUGCUCAUCUUCAACGCUAGAAGACAUGACAUCUGCAACAGAAAUGUUUGGGUCUAGCCUUGAAGGACUAGGUAAUUCCUUGGCUUCAUCACUAAGAGCAGUGGAUUGCUCAGACUCAGUACUUAAUGACUUAUCAGCAUUAGAUGAUUUUGAAGAUGCCUUGUCAUCACAGCUAGUACCAUUGACCUGUUCAUAUAACUCAAUAAUAUGUUCAUGACUGUUGUUUUCUUCUAUCGUCUUAGAAGCAUCUGGUGGUCCAACAUCCGAGGAUUGUACAUGUUUGUCCACUGAAGCUGGUGGAACAACUGUACCUGAAGAACUCCCUUGCUCAGAUGAGCUAAUAUCAGAAAAUCCAGCAGAUGGUUCUGGUUUCUUUGAAGUAAGAGCUGCUGUCAGAACAGUUGCAGUUGUUUCCUGGAUAUGAAGAUUCAACCAUGCCUUCUCUAAACUGGAAGCCAAAGCUUC